UACGUAGGUGGCAAGCGUUGUCCGGAAUUAUUGGGCGUAAAGCGCGCGCAGGCGGUCAUUUAAGUCUGAUGUGAAAGCCCACGGCUCAACCGUGGAGGGUCAUUGGAAACUGGGGGACUUGAGUGCAGGAGAGAAGAGUGGAAUUCCACGUGUAGCGGUGAAAUGCGUAGAGAUGUGGAGGAACACCAGUGGCGAAGGCGACUCUUUGGUCUGUAACUGACGCUGAGGCGCGAAAGCGUGGGGAGCAAACAGG
rnacentral:rRNA from 1 species